rnacentral:lncRNA from 10 species
GAAGAAAUUCCUCCUGUGGACCAAAACUUCAGUUCCUGCCACAGCGUUUCAGCCUGCCAUGCUGAUCCUGUCCUGUGAAUUUCCAACUUACCUAGCCAACCUCAACAAUCAUCCACACAGCCUAAAAAGCAACAACUCCACCAGUGCCCCCUGACUGAGGGAUUCAGAGCCUCAAGUUUCCUCCAACAUUUGUAUACCGUCACUGUAUCCCCAGAAAAAGUAAAAUAAUCCUCCUGAUCUGAUGGAAUCACAAGUGAGUUAGCCUUUAAGUAGUUGACUUGACUUUAAAAAGCACACCGAGUCACAGCAUUGGCAUUGCAGCUGGGACAUAUAAAAAGCUUGGAAGCUGUCACUCCCAUCCGCAGAAGAAUAGUGCUGAACAACCUGAAAACCAAUGAUUUUCCUUAGACUCAUCAGAGAAUUGGGGUCACAGGGCAAAUUGUCGCUGUGAAAUCUAGAGAGACAAGUGAAUACAGAAAAUUGCAGUCAAGAUCAGCUUAUCUGGAGUAAAAGCUGCUGGAGCCAUAAACUGAUAGGAACACUGAUAAUCUAUAGUCUAUACAGUUGGAGGGCACACAAAAUCCAACUUUAAAACUUGCUAUAAAACCACAGUAAUCAAGGGAGUGUAUUAUUGGAAAAACAAUUGAUACAUAUAUCAAUGGAAUAGGAUAGAGAGCCCAGAGAUAGACCCAUGCAAACAUAUUCAAUGGAUCAAAGCAAAGAUGAUCAGAGCAAAGAUGAUUCAAUGGAGAAAGAUGGUCUUUUAACAAGUGGUGCUGGAAUACUUGGACAUCUAUAUGCAAAGAAGUAAUCAUACUUUACACAUGUCACAAACACAAACUCAGAGUGGAUCAUAUAUUUAAAUGUAAACUGCAAAACUGGAAGAUAACAUGGGAGAAAAUCUAGGUGACCUUGUGUUUGGUAACUAGUUUUUAGAAACAUCACGAAAAACACAAUCCAGGGAAGGAAAAAUGGAUAUAUUGAACUUAAUUAAAAGGAAAAAAAUGUACUUUGGGAAAGACUAAAAGAAUCACCAUUAACAGAAUGAAAAGAAAAACUACAGCCUGGGAAAACAUAUAUGCAAAAGACAUAUUUGAUGAACAACUUGUAUCCAAAAUAUACAAAGAAUUCUUAAACUCAAUAAUAAAACAAUUCAAUGAAAAAAGGGAAAAGAUCUAAAUAGAUACCCCACCAAAGAAGAUAUAAAGUUGGCAAAUAAGGAUAUAAAAAUGUUCAGCAUGAUUUGUCAUUAAAGAAUCACAAGUUAAAACAACAAAAUACAACUGCACACCUCUUAGAUGCCUGCAAUUAAAAAAAAAUACUGACAAUACCAAAUGUUGGUGAAGAUGUUAAGCAGCAGAAAUUCUCAUUAAUUGUUGGUGGGAAUGCAUGGUACAGCAUUUUUAAAGACAGUUUGGCUGUUUCUUACAAAGCUAAACACAAUCUUACCAUAAGGUUCAGCAAUCAUGCUCCUACCUACUUACCCAAUUGGUUGAAGACUUAUAUCUAUGCAAAAAACCUGCGCAUGAAUAUUUUUGGAAACUUUGCUAAUAAUCACGCAAAACUGAAGCCACCAAGAUGUUUUUCAGUAGUUAAAAGAAUAAACAAAUGGUGGUAUAUCCAUGCAAAGGAAUAUUACUCUGGGAUUUUUUUAAAAAAGGGCUUUUAGGCCACAAAAAGUAUGGAAGGAACUUAAAUGCAUAUUGAAAAAAAAAGCAGUUUGAAAAGGCUGCAUACUGUAUAAUUCCAAUUUUGUAACAGUUUGAAAAAGGCAAAACUGUAAAGGCAGUAGAAAUAUCAGUGAUGGCCAGAAUUCAGGGUAAGACUGUGAUGAGUGGAGAUGAAUAGAUGUAGCACACGGGAUUCUUAGGAUGUUGAAGCUAUUCUGUAUAAUACUGCAAUGGUGGAUAUAUGACAUUAAUCAUUUGCCAAAUCCCUUAGAAAUUUACAACCCAGAGUGAACCUUAAUAUGUGUGAAUUUUUAAAAUAGUUUAGGAAUUCAGGGAUCCCAGGAAUGAAUACAGAUAAUGAUAAGAUAAUUACACUGUAUAACAAAUAUCUAAAACAAUCUCAUUGAAGUUGGUAAGGUAAAAGUUGCUGACCUAAGUACCUAUGGACAUAAAUAGAGUCUGUUAGACUAAAGACAGAGAGAACUACUCAAAAGGACUGUACUCUAGUUGAUAAAAUACAGAGAUAGAACUUUAUCAGAGAUAUAAGUUAGAAAUUAUGAUACUUCUGUUCAUGUUUUCUAGAAUAAUAGAUGGAUGGCAGAUGGUGGCAGCUAGUUUUCUCACUGUUGGAGUGGGAAUUUAGAUAAGCAAGGGGAGGAAGCCAGAACACUUCCCAUGGUAAAAAUUCAGCGAUGGAGACAUCAGUAAUAAUUCAUGUUUAAAAUGAUAAAGAUGGUUAUAUACAGAAACAUUGAUUGAUGUGUAUAUAUACAUGAAUUAGAUACAUACAUAUAUUUCUCUGCUCUGUUACCUGGAAGGUCCUAAAAGAAACGAUACCGUAGUAACAACAAUCACACCUAGUUCCUAGUGCCCAGAUCUUGUUUUCUAGUGUCUUUAUCCAUUAAAAAGGAACCAGUACUCUUUAGAGAAGUGGCUGUUUCUAGUACUGGGGCAGGAAAUAUACAAGAUGAGACUGAAACAUCUUGUAAUGCCAAAAAGUAAUAAAGUGCUCAAGAUAAACAAAUUAACAAGCUUUUUUUUUAACCUAGACACACACACACACACACACACACACACACACACACACACAUUGUGGAAUAUAAUGAAAAGCAUAGGUACCAACUGAAAGAGCUUCCAAUGGUCGAAGCAGGAAAAUUUGAGUAACAAAAUAAAUAAAUGGUGUUGAAUUGUAACCCAAAAUAUAAAGCAACCAUCCAUAGAAUUCAUACUAAUAUAAAUAAAUUAUUGACUGAUACGGUUUGGCUGUGUCCCCACCCAAAUCUCAUCUUGAAUUGCAGUUCCCUUAAUCCCCACAUGUCAAUGGGAAGGACCAGGUGGAGAUAACUGAAUCUUGGGGACAGUUUUCCCCAUCCAGUUCUUGUGAUAGUGAGUUAGUUGUCACGAGAUCUGAUGGCUUUAUAAGGGGCUUCCCCAUUCACUAGGCACUCAUUUCUCUCUCCUGCCACCAUGUGAAGAAGGACAUGUUUGCUUCCCUUUCCACCAUGAUUGUAAGUUUCCUGAGGCCUCCUCAGCCCUGAAGAACUGUGAGUCAAUUAAAUCUCUUUCCUUUAUAAAUUACCCAUCCUCAGGCAGUUCUUUAUCACGGAGUGAGAAUGGAUUAAUACAUUGACUAAGUUAAUAUAUUGGGGAGAAGACACAAUUAUUUCAUGCAGAAAAAUUCCAAAAAUUAUGUAGUUACUCCAACCUAAAGACGGAAGAGAAUAACUUCCUACUCUUUAAGUGUAGGCUACACAUAGUAACUUCACUCCAAAGAUUGCAGAACAAAAAGUGGGAGAAAAAUCAUAACUUUACAGUGGAGAAACCUGAAAGACACUAUUUCAGCCAUAUGAUCAAAGUCAGUAUUCAUAAAUCAUAAAUCAUGUUGCUACUAUGCAAUCUUGAUAUGACGUGACAAAAAAAUUACUUUACGUUUGCCUUCCUGCUUCCCCAAACCCAUAACCAGCCCCAGCUUAAUGAGAAAAACAUCAAAUCCAGUAGAGGGGAUUCCUACAACAUGCCUGACCAAUGUUCCUCAAAACUGUCAAGAUCAUCAAAAAUGAGGAAAGUCAGAGAAAUUGUCACAGCCAGGAGGUGCCUAAGGAGACAAUGACAACUAGAUGUAAUUUGGUACGCUGGAUGGGAUCUUGGAACCGAAAGAAGACAUUAAGUAAAAAUUAAGAACAAUCUUAAUAAACUGUGGAAUUUAGUUAAAAUAAUGCAUCAAUAUUGAUUAAUCUGUUGGAACAAUAGUCCCAAACUAAUGUAAGAUGUUAACAAUUGGAGGAACUGGGUGAGGGUUGGGGGACAUAUGAAAACUCUCUUUACUAUCUGGUUGAUUUUUCUUAAAUCUGAAAAUUUUCUUUUGUUUUUUUGUUUUAUUUUGUUUUGUUUUUGAGAUGGAGUCUCACUCUGUAGCCAGGCUGGAGUGCAGUGGCACGAUCUUGGGUCACUGAAACCUCUGUCUCCUGGGUUCAAGCAAUUCUCCUGCCUCAGCCUCCUGAGUAGCUGGGACUACAGGCACAUGCCACCACACCCAGCUAAGUUUUGUAUUUUUAGUAGAGAUGGGGUUUCAUCAUGUUGGCCAGGAUGGUGUCGAUCUCUUGACCUCAUGAUCCGCCCACCUCAGCUGCCCAAAGUGUUGGGAUUACAGGCGUGAGCCACUGAGCCCAGCUGAAAAUUUUCUUUAAAAUAAAGUCUAUUAAGAAAAUGAGUAUACAGAAUCCCCAUUGUAUACAAUGUAGCUUCGAAUUCUGCAUUUUUAUCUGUCAUAAACAAACAUUUCACAAUAUCAUCAAAAAUCGACUAAUGUAUAUUAAGCACAUGUUAAGCUUAAGUGUAAGUUUCAGUGCUCAUUGAUAAUGCUUUUAGGUCACAACAUUCCCUCCCUCCUUAUUACAUCUUCCAGCUGGCUAGAGCCUUGCAUUUGUGAGGACUCCCUUGGUUGCAAGUUACAGAAAUGCACUUAAUCUAGCUAUGGCAAAACUAGCUAACUUUUCUGGGAUUUUGAAGGCUGGUGGCUUCAGCCUUGCCUGAACCUAGGAAUUUUCACCAUUAUUAUCAGAAAUUAUUAGACUCUAUCUCUCAUCUCUGUUAUCUUCUGUCCUGGUUUAAUUCCCAGGCAGGGUAUCACCAUGUAAUGGCUAAAAUGGUCAAGCCAGGCCAAAGUUGACACCGUAUCUAGACUGUCAAGCUGUAAUGAAAGGGCACUUCUUUCCUAAUAGUUCCCAAGAAGAGCUUUUAUUUGUUCAGUUUGGAUCACUUGUUCAUCUAUAUGCCAGUUGCUGAAUUUGAUCCAGUGUUCCCUUAACCAAGCACAGAUGAUGUGUCCCACCUCUAGAUAGGUCCACUUGAACCACUAGACUGAGACAGACAAGGGAAAUUUUCCAAAGGGCAAAAGAGGAUCCUAUUAAUACAAGAAGGAAAAAAGGAUGCAAUGUGAUUUAUGGUAAGUGCUUUUUUGUGUGUACUUGAGGUUUGGGACCAAGUUGUAUAAAUUUGGCCUUUGGAGGGCUGGAGACUGAGUAGCAAAAGUCAGUCAUGCAAAUGUUGUAUGCUUGCAUGAUGGAUCCUUAAAUUAAAACCCUGACACUAGGGUUCAAGAGUGACUCUCUGGUUGACAGCACUUUGCAUGUGUUGCCACACAUUAUUGCUGGGAGAAUUAUGUCAUCUCCAUGUGAUUCUACAGAAAGAAGAAAACUGGAAGUUUUUUUCCCCUUGGUUUCUCCUGGACUCUGCCCUGUGUGCCUUUUCCCUUCACUGAUUUUAGUCUGAUCAUUUCGCUGUAACAAAUUAUAGCCAUGAAUAUAACAGCUUUUUUUUUCAGUCCUGUGAUCCUAUCUAAGAAUCAUCGAGUUUGAGGAUGGUCUUCUGACCUCUGAUACACCAAUAUUUAAAAACUAGGAUAUUUUACAUAGAAAUCUGCAAAGCUGGCUUUUCUUGAGAAAUCAGAAUACUUCAGUAAUCACUGCAAGUUCUAGUCACAGCAACAGCCUGAUAAUCUUUUUGGGAAGUUUUCUUUCUCCCAUUGCAAUAUAGGCUUUGGAGGCUCUUCAUCAAUGUAGUUCACCUUUGAAAUAUC